GAAGGUGAGAGCGAUCUGGCUGCAACAUCUGUCACCCCAUUGAUCGCCAGGGUUGAUUUGGCUGAUCUGGCUGGCUAGGUGGGUGUCCCCUUCCUCCCUCACCGCUCCAUGUGUGUCCUUCCUGAAGCUGUGCACUGGGUCAAAGAGGACUACCUUCCCAGAAUAGAAGAGGACUGGUCUUUGGUCAAGGGUAUACGAGUAGCUGCGCUCAACUGCUAGGACCUCCAAACAAGCUCUCAAGGCCAGCUUUAAGAACACUGAUUUCAACUCUGUAUACAGAACCCUUGGGAUCCAGUG
rnacentral:snRNA from 1 species